rnacentral:lncRNA from 1 species
UUUUACCGGCCCUCACAGCCUGGCUGCAGCACAGAUGGGCCGUCUUUGUCUGGCUCUCCGCCUUUGUCAUCAUUGGCUUCAGGGCUGAGCUGGCUAUGCUGCUGGGCAUCAUGCUGCUGCUGACCUUGUACCAAAGGAGGAUGUCUGUGGCCAGAUUGCUCCAGCACGCCAUCCCAGCAGGGAUUCUUUGCCUAGGCAAGUUGGCAUCUCGGCUUUGUCUGUGUGUCUGCCAAUGGUUUUGGUAUUUGAGACAGAGUCCGACUGUCUUAGUUACUGUUCUGUUGUGAGGGCACACCAUGACCAAGGCAGCUUAUGAAAGGAAACUUUUAAUUGGGUCUGGCUUACAGUUUCAGAGGAUUAGUCCGUGAUCAUCAUGGCAGGAAGCAUGGCAGGCAGGCAGGUAGGCAUGGCACUGGAGCAGUAGCUGAGAGCUGCAUCCUGAUCCACAGGCAGCGGGGGUGGGGGGUGGGGUGGGGACAAGGCCUGGUGCGGGCUUGUUUGAAACCUCAAAGCCCAGCUCCACUGACACACCCCCUUCAUAAGCCACACCUCUAAUCUUUCCUGAACUGUCCACCAACUAGAACCUAAAUAUUAAAAUUUAUUAGCUCUUGGGGGAU